GAAAUGCGAUAAGUAGUGUGAAUUGCAGAAUUCAGUGAAUCAUCGAAUCUUUGAACGCACAUUGCGCCCUUCGGUAUUCCGUUGGGCAUGCCUGUUCGAGCGUCAUUAAGAACUUCAAGCUCAGCUUGGUGUUGGGUGCUUGUCCCCCCUAUGGGGGACUCACCUCAAAUGCAUUGGCGGCCGGUAUGUUGGCUACAGCGCAGUACAUCGCGUCUGGCGUCUCGAUAUACUGGUCCCCCAGAAGCCACCUCUUUUGUCUUGACCUCGGAUCAGGUAGGGAUACCCGCUGAACUUAA
rnacentral:misc_RNA from 1 species